GAUGAAGAACGCAGCGAAAUGCGAUAAGUAAUGUGAAUUGCAGAAUUCAGUGAAUCAUCGAGUUUUUGAACGCAUAUUGCGCCCUCUGGUAUUCCGGGGGGCAUGCCUGUUCGAGCGUCAUUAAAUAACCCUCAAGCAUAGCUUGGUGUUGGGCUUUUUUACGUCCUUGACUGGGAUGGACCUAAAAAUUAGUGGCGAUGGCUUUUUUACUUUCAAGCGUAGUAAAUCUCGUCUUGCUAAAGAGGAAAAAGAUUUUUUUUCUGCCAAAAAUUUUAACAUUUAAAGUUGACCUCGGAUCAGGUAGGAUUACCCGCUGAACUUAAGCAUAUCAAUAAGCGGAGGA
rnacentral:misc_RNA from 1 species